UGCCGGCGACCGGCGACGGGUGCGUAACGCGUAUGUAACCUGGCCGUCACAGGUGGAUAACCGGAAGAAAUUCCGACUAAUACAGCAUAACACUCCUGAGGGACAUCCUUCGGGAGUCAAAGGAGGCAACUCCGGUGACGGAUGGGCAUGCGGCGCAUUAGGUAGUUGGUAGGGUAACGGCCUACCAAGCCGACGAUGCGUAGGGGUUCUGAGAGGAAGGUCCCCCACAUUGGAACUGAGACACGGUCCAAACUCCUACGGAAGGCAGCAG
rnacentral:rRNA from 1 species